UGGGGAAUAUUGCACAAUGGGCGCAAGCCUGAUGCAGCCAUGCCGCGUGUAUGAAGAAGGCCUUCGGGUUGUAAAGUACUUUCAGCGAGAGGAAGGUGUUGUGGUUAAUAACCGCAGCAAUUGACGUUACUCGCAGAAGAAGCACCGGCUAACUCCGGUGCCACAGCCGCGGUAAUACGGAGGGUGCAAGCGUUAAUCGGAAUUACUGGGCGUAAAGCGCACGCAGGCGGUCUGUCAAGUCGGAUGUGAAAUCCCCGGGCUCAACCUGGGAACU
rnacentral:rRNA from 1 species